rnacentral:lncRNA from 1 species
UAUUAAUAGCACAAAGUCAUUAGUGCUAUUAGGUUUUCGGCCUUUAAAUGAAGGAAUGAGCUGUUAGGAUGAUAGUGAUCUCCAGGGUUUGUGGGUGGUUGAUGGAAUAGUAUGACCCAAAGGGUGAAAAUGGUCAAAAGGUAGAUCUAACAUCAAAAAUUUGGUUGCACAAGGUGCUUGGUACUAUUGAUAGCAUUGUGUGUGUGUGUGUAUAUAUAUAAAAUUGAGCUCUUAUGCUUUUAAAAGUAUCGAGUCAUUAGUGCUUGUAGGUUUUAGCCCUUGAAUUAAAAAAAUGUGCAGUUAGAAAGAUAGUGGUCCCUUAGGGUUGAGUGGGUGGUUGGUAGAAUAGUAUGAUCUAAUAUGUGAAUAUAGUCAAAGAGGUAGAUCUAACGGCGGAAAGCUUACAAGCACCAAGUGCUUGGUGUGAGGGCUAAGAUUUUUUUUAAUAGUGUAAAUUAGUG